rnacentral:lncRNA from 1 species
AACGAAGGACUCUAAGAGCCCCUAGCCUGCAACCCUGAUUCUAGACCUCCAGACUCCCCUAUCAAGGGUCAAGUCCUCGGUAACCUGCAUUCUAGACAUGUCCUGCCUAAUCACCUCUCCCCAAUGCUUCCUAGGCUCCCUCUACCCCGCCGACCACCAACAAUCUCCAGCCGCUCGCAGCUCCUCACCGGGGCAUCGGGACCCCUCCUCCGUACAUGC